UUUAUGGAGAGUUUGAUCCUGGCUCAGGAUGAACGCUGGCGGCGUGCCUAAUACAUGCAAGUCGAGCGAACGGACGAGAAGCUUGCUUCUCUGAUGUUAGCGGCGGACGGGUGAGUAACACGUGGAUAACCUACCUAUAAGACUGGGAUAACUUCGGGAAACCGGAGCUAAUACCGGAUAAUAUUUUGAACCGCAUGGUUCAAAAGUGAAAGACGGUCUUGCUGUCACUUAUAGAUGGAUCCGCGCUGCAUUAGCUAGUUGGUAAGGUAACGGCUUACCAAGGCAACGAUGCAUAGCCGACCUGAGAGGGUGAUCGGCCACACUGGAACUGAGACAUGGUCCAGACUCCUACGGGAGGCAGCAGUAGGGAAUCUUCCGCAAUGGGCGAAAGCCUGACGGAGCAACGCCGCGUGAGUGAUGAAGGUCUUCGGAUCGUAAAACUCUGUUAUUAGGGAAGAACAUAUGUGUAAGUAACUGUGCACAUCUUGACGGUACCUAAUCAGAAAGCCACGGCUAACUACGUGCCAGCAGCCGCGGUAAUACGUAGGUGGCAAGCGUUAUCCGGAAUUAUUGGGCGUAAAGCGCGCGUAGGCGGUUUUUUAAGUCUGAUGUGAAAGCCCACGGCUCAACCGUGGAGGGUCAUUGGAAACUGGAAAACUUGAGUGCAGAAGAGGAAAGUGGAAUUCCAUGUGUAGCGGUGAAAUGCGCAGAGAUAUGGAGGAACACCAGUGGCGAAGGCGACUUUCUGGUCUGUAACUGACGCUGAUGUGCGAAAGCGUGGGGAUCAAACAGGAUUAGAUACCCUGGUAGUCCACGCCGUAAACGAUGAGUGCUAAGUGUUAGGGGGUUUCCGCCCCUUAGUGCUGCAGCUAACGCAUUAAGCACUCCGCCUGGGGAGUACGACCGCAAGGUUGAAACUCAAAGGAAUUGACGGGGACCCGCACAAGCGGUGGAGCAUGUGGUUUAAUUCGAAGCAACGCGAAGAACCUUACCAAAUCUUGACAUCCUUUGACAACUCUAGAGAUAGAGCCUUCCCCUUCGGGGGACAAAGUGACAGGUGGUGCAUGGUUGUCGUCAGCUCGUGUCGUGAGAUGUUGGGUUAAGUCCCGCAACGAGCGCAACCCUUAAGCUUAGUUGCCAUCAUUAAGUUGGGCACUCUAAGUUGACUGCCGGUGACAAACCGGAGGAAGGUGGGGAUGACGUCAAAUCAUCAUGCCCCUUAUGAUUUGGGCUACACACGUGCUACAAUGGACAAUACAAAGGGCAGCGAAACCGCGAGGUCAAGCAAAUCCCAUAAAGUUGUUCUCAGUUCGGAUUGUAGUCUGCAACUCGACUACAUGAAGCUGGAAUCGCUAGUAAUCGUAGAUCAGCAUGCUACGGUGAAUACGUUCCCGGGUCUUGUACACACCGCCCGUCACACCACGAGAGUUUGUAACACCCGAAGCCGGUGGAGUAACCUUUUAGGAGCUAGCCGUCGAAGGUGGGACAAAUGAUUGGGGUGAAGUCGUAACAAGGUAGCCGUAUCGGAAGGUGCGGCU
rnacentral:rRNA from 1 species